UCGAGCGGCGGAGGAGGGGGAGGCGAUUCCUUGUGUUCAUGGCGAUUUCGAGCUCAUCCACGGCAGGAUACUGACUUCUUCCUCUUGUUUCUCGUCGUCCGCGGCUGCUCUGGUUGGUUGUCCCCUCUCUCGCGCUCUUCUUGCCCGUGGUUUUCGUGCCCUUGUAAUUUCAGAUCUAGGUGAUUUCGCGUAUCCGCGGGCUGCGCAUGUUGCUGUCGCGGUGUCGCCUUUGGGGUGUGCGCGUGAAUUUCUGGUAGGAGCCUGCAGUGCGCCACGGGCAGUUUUCGCCGUGAUCCCGUGUGUUGUUGUUGUGGUCUCACACGAAAUCCCUCCCCCCCCCCUCCCCUGCGGUUGUUUGGUUCUCGUUGUUGAUGUGUAGGUAGGCGUAGAGGCUAGUUUUUCUGCAGUUGAUGUUGAGGUAGGCAUUGUAGGCGUUAGUUUUCAGCGGCGGAUCCGGUAGGCUUGUCCCUGAAUAGUUCCUGUUUGUAGCCCCAAAAUUUUGUCAUGUUAGUCUCGUUUUCUACCAUGUUGUUGUUCAUCCCGGAUGUUUUACUGAACAUCUCUAUGUAUUUUGCUCCUUUUGUUGUGCAUUUUCCUGAAUUUCGUGCUUAUUUUUCAGUGUUUUCUCCAUAAUAGGAAGUGUAUGUAAGAUCAAGGGUCUGCAGUGGUAUGCGCAUGAAGUUCUGCUGUGCAUUUUGUCUACCUUCAUCUCUGUGCAGUUGACCUAUAUGCAUCUCUAUGCUGUAGAACUUCACUGCUUGCUUAUGUGCCUCAUGUAGCUUUGCUGUACUUUCUUAUUUUUUAGUUAAUAUUGUACCCCUUGCAGUAUUUUGCCUAGUGUUUAUGUUGUCAUAGUUGAUGUGCAACUUGCUCCCUAAUUAGUGUGUGGGUAUUGUAUCCUUUGGCCUUUGUAAAUAUUGUAUCAUUUGGCCCUGUUCUAGUCUGUAAUACCCCUCUUGUUCUUCACUAUGCAUGUGUAGUAGCACUGCCUUCUUCUUAGUAUGAUUGAUAUUGUAUUUUUUCUUAAUUUCUAUUUGAUGUAUCUCUGACUUAGACUGUACUUCCCCUAGUUUUCUUUUGAUGCAGUUGUAUGCCCGAUGAAUUUUUGUAAUGUAUUUUCUGAAGUUCAGUGUAUUUCCCUGGAGUUUUACACUGUAAUUUGUGUGGGUGAGGAAUGUAAUUAACCAUAUGGCUUACACUGCAACUAAACAUAGGGCUUACACUGUAAAUUAGCAGAGUUUUCCACUUUAACUAACCAUAUGGCUUACACUGCAACUAACGAUAGGGCUUACACUGUAAAUUAGCAGAGUUUUCCACUGUAACUAACCAUAGGGCUUACACUGUAAAUUAGCAGAGUUUUCCACUGUAAUUAACCAUAGGGCUUACACUGUAAAGUAGCAGAGUUUUCCACUGUAAUUAACCAUAGGGCUUACACUGUAAAUUAGCAGAGUUUUCCACUGUAAUUAACCAUAGGGCUUACACUGUAAAUUAGCAGAGUUUUCCACUGUAUUUUGUGUUGAUGAGGACUGUAAUUUGUGGUUUGGCCUUAGCUUGUAUUUUUCAUAGGGCUUACGCCAUAAUUGAGUAGAGUUUUACACUAUAAUUUUUCUUGGUGAGGACUAUAUUUGUUGUAGGGUUUACAGUGUAAUUGUAAAGUGUAUUUUUCCUGUUGGGCUUACACCGUAAAUGAGUAGAGUUCUACAGUGUAAUUUGUGUGGGUUGGGACUGUAAUUGUACAAUGUAUUUUUCCUAUUGGGCUUAAUCUGUAAGUCACCAGAGUUUUUCUGUGUAAUUUGUGUGGGUUAGUACUAUAAUUGUUUCACUUAAUUUUCAACGUAAAUUCGGCGUGACUUGUCCUGAAUUAUUUCUGUAAUAUGACACAAAAUUACAGCGUAAUUUCACUUUAUUUUUUCAGUGGUGUUACAGUGUAAUUUCAUCCUUAAUUACUGUGUAGUGGCUCUGUAGUUAUCAUGCACUUUUACAGUGUAAUUUUACCCCUAAUUACAGUGUAUUUUUUGGCCAUAAU
rnacentral:lncRNA from 1 species